UCUCACCUUUUGUGCUUAAGUGUAAGAUGCAUGACUACAUUGAUUGUGUACAUCUGAUGAGUUAAGUAUGGUAUGAUGAUGAUGCAUAUGAUAAGUAUGUGAAGAAUGGUUAUAUGAACACCAUAAGGGUGUUGUGUGAUAUGUAAUUGAUGAAUUCUGUGAUAUGUGAAAGAUGUCUUACUUGGUUAAGAAUGAUAUGAAUUAUGUGCAAGUAUGUGUUCUUAUGUUGAUGGAUAUGUGGAUUACUCUAUGUUCAUGAUUUGUUAUAUGUUAUGAUAUAUGAAGCGUUUAAGUUUUUAGGCUGGAAACCUUAGACCUGAGCCAUAGCUCUACGUUAAGGUAUAACAACGCCACCAACCCAAAGCUUCAUGUAUUAUGACUAAAGAUGUUUUGAGUUAUAUGAGAUGUGAUACAAUGCCUUGAUUGAAUACCAUCAACAUGAAUCAUGAACAUGAACAUUGGCAUUUCAGCAUCAGCAUGUAUGCAUGGCAUGUACAGUUAUGUGAUACAUUAUUAUGUGAUAUAAGACCAUGCAUAUGAAUAUGAAAAAAGUUAUGAAAUGCCUUGAAAAGUUUUAUGUAAAGUUAAACAUUUUAAUGACACAAGGCUUAAGCAAAGUGAUAAUAAGAUGUUAAAAAGGGUGCCACUGUUUCGAUGAAGCAAUCAAGUAAGUUCAGUAAAGAAGACGGAAGUCUAUAAGACUUAUAGUGGCUGCCCACUAGUGUGGGCUAGGUCAGAGUUGACCAUUCAGAUAUGUUUGCCAUGUUUCCGUCUUUCUCCUCCAUAUGUGUAAUAAGUAUGGCAGCUAUGGCAACGAUGAAAUGAGUGUUAUGAUGAGCCUAGCUGAGAUGAUGGCUAGCCGGAGGAGAACCCAUGGGAUUCUAUAUGAUAUGUGUAACAAGCCCUGCAGGCAUUGGCUGAAUCAAACAGUGUGCACAAGUGAUAUUGGGCCCAUAAAAAUGUGAAACUAAAAGAAAGAGCAUAAAAGUAAAGUUUGAAAGUGCAUGAGCAAUAAAUGAAAUUCAUAAGUAUAUAAGUCAGCAUAUUAGUAUAUGUGCACUACAAACUCACGACAUUCAUGUGUAAGUAAAUCUCACCUUUUGUGCUUAAGUGUAAGAUGCAUGACUACAUUGAUUGUGUACAUCUGAUGAGUUAAGUAUGGUAUGAUGAUGAUGCAUAUGAUAAGUAUGUGAAGAAUGGUUAUAUGAACACCAUAAGGGUGUUGUGUGAUAUGUAAUUGAUGAAUUCUGUGAUAUGUGAAAGAUGUCUUACUUGGUUAAGAAUGAUAUGAAUUAUGUGCAAGUAUGUGUUCUUAUGUUGAUGGAUAUGUGGAUUACUCUAUGUUCAUGAUUUGUUAUAUGUUAUGAUAUAUGAAGCGUUUAAGUUUUUAGGCUGGAAACCUUAGACCUGAGCCAUAGCUCUACGUUAAGGUAUAACAACGCCACCAACCCAAAGCUUCAUGUAUUAUGACUAAAGAUGUUUUGAGUUAUAUGAGAUGUGAUACAAUGCCUUGAUUGAAUACCAUCAACAUGAAUCAUGAACAUGAACAUUGGCAUUUCAGCAUCAGCAUGUAUGCAUGGCAUGUACAGUUAUGUGAUACAUUAUUAUGUGAUAUAAGACCAUGCAUAUGAAUAUGAAAAAAGUUAUGAAAUGCCUUGAAAAGUUUUAUGUAAAGUUAAACAUUUUAAUGACACAAGGCUUAAGCAAAGUGAUAAUAAGAUGUUAAAAAGGGUGCCACUGUUUCGAUGAAGCAAUCAAGUAAGUUCAGUAAAGAAGACGGAAGUCUAUAAGACUUAUAGUGGCUGCCCACUAGUGUGGGCUAGGUCAGAGUUGACCAUUCAGAUAUGUUUGCCAUGUUUCCGUCUUUCUCCUCCAUAUGUGUAAUAAGUAUGGCAGCUAUGGCAACGAUGAAAUGAGUGUUAUGAUGAGCCUAGCUGAGAUGAUGGCUAGCCGGAGGAGAACCCAUGGGAUUCUAUAUGAUAUGUGUAACAAGCCCUGCAGGCAUUGGCUGAAUCAAACAGUGUGCACAAGUGAUAUUGGGCCCAUAAAAAUGUGAAACUAAAAGAAAGAGCAUAAAAGUAAAGUUUGAAAGUGCAUGAGCAAUAAAUGAAAUUCAUAAGUAUAUAAGUCAGCAUAUUAGUAUAUGUGCACUACAAACUCACGACAUUCAUGUGUAUGUGUAUGCA